rnacentral:rRNA from 1 species
UACGUAGGGUCCGAGCGUUGUCCGGAAUUAUUGGGCGUAAAGCGCACGUAGGCGGCAUUGCAAGUCGGAUGUGAAAUCCCUCGGCUUAACCAAGGAAGUGCAUCCGAAACUGCAGUGCUUGAGUACUUAAGAGGAUCGCGGAAUUCCCGGUGUAGAGGUGAAAUUCGUAGAUAUCGGGAGGAACACCAGUGGCGAAGGCGGCGAUCUGGGAAGAUACUGACGCUGAGGUGCGAAAGCGUGGGGAGCAAACAGG